UAUAGUUGUAGUUUGGGAGUCAACAGAAUAUACAUAGCAUUUAAAGCCAUGGGCCUGAAUGAGAUUGAAAUUGAAUAUGGUCAAAAUAUAAGCCUAAGAAUCAAAUGAAUUUUGGAUAUAUCUCAUAGUUAAGAGUUGAUAGUAUUUGCUUGCAGUUUAAUGCAUGUGUAAAGGAGGAUUGAAGGAAGUGUCUAGAGACAUGGGGAUAAAGAAAGCUAUUGGUAGGCUGAUCCUAGAGUUCUCCAACAUUGGAGAUAAAGACCUGAUAAAUUAGGCUCCAAAGGAAUGGUUAAAAAUGUGAAGAUCAGGGAUCAAACCAGUCAAGUGUUCUGUUUUGGAAACCAAGAGAAUAAAGUGUUUCAAGGAGCUAGCAAUGGUCAUCCAUGUUAAAUACUACUCUAUUAGUCAUGAAAACU